rnacentral:rRNA from 1 species
GCGAGGUAGAGCAAAUCUCAAAAAAACAAUCUCAGUUCAGACUGCAGGCUGCAACUCGCCUGCACGAAGUCGGAAUUGCUAGUAAUCGUAGGUCAGCAUACUACGGUGAAUACGUUCCCGGGCCUUGUACACACCGCCCGUCACACCAUGAGAGUUUGUAACACCCAAAGCCGGUGGGGUAACCUUUUGGAGCCAGCCGCCUAAGGUGGGACAGAUGAUUGGGGUGAAGUCGUAACAAGGUACC